rnacentral:rRNA from 1 species
CCUACGGGGGGCUGCAGUGGGGAAUUUUGGACAAUGGGCGCAAGCCUGAUCCAGCCAUGCCGCGUGCGGGAAGAAGGCCUUCGGGUUGUAAACCGCUUUUGUCAGGGAAGAAAAGGUUCUGGUUAAUACCUGGGACUCAUGACGGUACCUGAAGAAUAAGCACCGGCUAACUACGUGCCAGCAGCCGCGGUAAUACGUAGGGUGCAAGCGUUAAUCGGAAUUACUGGGCGUAAAGCUGCAGGAGGCGGGUGAAAUCCCCGGGCUCAACCUGGGAACUGCCUUUGUGACUGCAUAGCUAGAGUACGGUAGAGGGGGAUGGAAUUCCGCGUGUAGCAGUGAAAUGCGUAGAUAUGCGGAGGAACACCGAUGGCGAAGGCAAUCCCCUGGACCUGUACUGACGCUCAUGCACGAAAGCGUGGGGAGCAAACAGGAUUAGAUACCCCUGUAGUC